CAGUCGCCGCGGUAAUACGAAGGGUGCAAGCGUUACUCGGAAUUACUGGGCGUAAAGCGUGCGUAGGUGGUGGUUUAAGUCCGUUGUGAAAGCCCUGGGCUCAACCUGGGAAUUGCAGUGGAUACUGGGUCACUAGAGUGUGGUAGAGGAUAGUGGAAUUUCCGGUGUAGCAGUGAAAUGCGUAGAGAUCGGAAGGAACAUCUGUGGCGAAGGCGACUAUCUGGGCCAACACUGACACUGAGGCACGAAAGCGUGGGGAGCAAACAGGAUUAGAUACCCGUGAGUCCCUGUCUCUUAUACA
rnacentral:rRNA from 1 species